GAGUUUGAUCAUGGCUCAGAUUGAACGCUGGCGGCAGGCCUAACACAUGCAAGUCGAACGGUAACAGGAAACAGCUUGCUGCUUCGCUGACGAGUGGCGGACGGGUGAGUAAUGUCUGGGAAACUGCCUGAUGGAGGGGGAUAACUACUGGAAACGGUAGCUAAUACCGCAUAACGUCGCAAGACCAAAGAGGGGGACCUUCGGGCCUCUUGCCAUCGGAUGUGCCCAGAUGGGAUUAGCUUGUUGGUGGGGUAACGGCUCACCAAGGCGACGAUCCCUAGCUGGUCUGAGAGGAUGACCAGCCACACUGGAACUGAGACACGGUCCAGACUCCUACGGGAGGCAGCAGUGGGGAAUAUUGCACAAUGGGCGCAAGCCUGAUGCAGCCAUGCCGCGUGUAUGAAGAAGGCCUUCGGGUUGUAAAGUACUUUCAGCGGGGAGGAAGGGAGUAAAGUUAAUACCUUUGCUCAUUGACGUUACCCGCAGAAGAAGCACCGGCUAACUCCGUGCCAGCAGCCGCGGUAAUACGGAGGGUGCAAGCGUUAAUCGGAAUUACUGGGCGUAAAGCGCACGCAGGCGGUUUGUUAAGUCAGAUGUGAAAUCCCCGGGCUCAACCUGGGAACUGCAUCUGAUACUGGCAAGCUUGAGUCUCGUAGAGGGGGGUAGAAUUCCAGGUGUAGCGGUGAAAUGCGUAGAGAUCUGGAGGAAUACCGGUGGCGAAGGCGGCCCCCUGGACGAAGACUGACGCUCAGGUGCGAAAGCGUGGGGAGCAAACAGGAUUAGAUACCCUGGUAGUCCACGCCGUAAACGAUGUCGACUUGGAGGUUGUGCCCUUGAGGCGUGGCUUCCGGAGCUAACGCGUUAAGUCGACCGCCUGGGGAGUACGGCCGCAAGGUUAAAACUCAAAUGAAUUGACGGGGGCCCGCACAAGCGGUGGAGCAUGUGGUUUAAUUCGAUGCAACGCGAAGAACCUUACCUGGUCUUGACAUCCACGGAAGUUUUCAGAGAUGGAUUGUGCCUUCGGGAACUGUGAGACAGGUGCUGCAUGGCUGUCGUCAGCUCGUGUUGUGAAAUGUUGGGUUAAGUCCCGCAACGAGCGCAACCCUUAUCCUUUGUUGCCAGCGGUCCGGCCGGGAACUCAAAGGAGACUGCCAGUGAUAAACUGGAGAAGGUGGGAUUACGUCAAGUCAUCAUGGCCUUACGACCAGGGCUACACACGUGCUACAAUGGCGCAUACAAAGAGAAGCGACCUCGCGAGAGCAAGCGGACCUCAUAAAGUGCGUCGUAGUCCGGAUUGGAGUCUGCAACUCGACUCCAUGAAGUCGGAAUCGCUAGUAAUCGUGGAUCAGAAUGCCACGGUGAAUACGUUCCCGGGCCUUGUACACACCGCCCGUCACACCAUGGGAGUGGGUUGCAAAAGAAGUAGGUAGCUUAACCUUCGGGAGGGCGCUUACCACUUUGUGAUUCAUGACUGGGGUGAAGUCGUAACAAGGUAACCGUAGGGGAACCUGCGGUUGGAUCACC
rnacentral:rRNA from 1 species